AUUAUUUUACCGCCAAAAUUAUAAAUUCUGGUUUUAUAUAGCUACAGUCCACUAUGGAGGCUGUAUUCAUUGUAAUUCAAAACGUUAGUCAAUGAUCUUCGUCUCUGUCAGCGCGGGGCGUGUUCUGUCUCGUGAUUGGUGGAUGUCGGAAUGGCGUUGGGUUACCCGUCGGCAACCUCCCGACGGCGUUUUCCCGACGAUUGCAGUGACGGGAACACACACUGUGUAAUUGUAUCGGGGAUCAAAAUCUACCCUUCGUUUAGUGAUGGGGAUGCUAGUUAUAUCGAUACUAUGACUAUAAUAACGACAAGCUAAUACAGACCUUAAGUUAUUGUAAAGAAAAUUAUUACAUUUUCAUAUAAUAAUAUAUUAUUUACUUUAUCGUAUCAGCAUGAAGUAUUCAGUCAAUAAUAUAUAAAAAUAUGUUGUUUUAAAUUAUAUAGGUAUGUAUUAAUAGAACAAUAUGCGAUAUAAAUCAUGUUAGAAUAAUUUUACUA